rnacentral:rRNA from 1 species
GCUAGUUGGUAAGGUAACGGCUUACCAAGGCAACGAUGGAUAGGGGUUCUGAGAGGAUACACCCCCACACUGGAACUGAGACACGGUCCAGACUCCUACGGGAGGCAGCAGUAAGGAAUAUUGGGCAAUGGAGGCAACUCUGACCCAGCCAUGCCGCGUGCAGGAAGACAGUCUUAUGGAUUGUAAACUGCUUUUAAUAGGGAAUAAUUUCGAUUAUGUAUAGUUGAUUGCAGGUACCUAUAGAAUCAGCAUCGGCUAACUCCGUGCCAGCAGCCGCGGUAAUACGGAGGAUGCAAGCGUUAUCCGGAUUUAUUGGGUUUAAAGGGUGCGCAGGCGGACUAAUAAGUCAGUGGUGAAAUUUACAUGCUCAACAUGUAGCGUGCCAUUGAUACUGUUGGACUAGUAUACAAAUGACGUAGCUGGAAUGUGUUAUGUAGCGGUGAAAUGCAUAGAUAUAACACAGAACACCGAUCGUGAAGACAGGUUACGAAUUUGUUAUAGACGCUCAUGCACGAAAGCGUGGGGAUCAAACAGGAUUAGAUACCCUGGUAGUCCACGCUGUAAACGAUGAUAACUUGUUGUCGGGCAUUUCAUGCUCGGUGGCUA